GAUAGGGUGCCUGAAUAAAAAGGAUUAUUUUGAUAGAAUAAAACAUGUAUGCACUGUACCCCUAUUA
rnacentral:tRNA from 1 species